UCCCUGAUAGCUCAGUUGGUAAAGAAUCUGCCUGCAAUGCAGGAUACCCUGGUUCAGUUUCUGGGUUGGGGAG
rnacentral:tRNA from 1 species